AUGCUUCGGCAACCAUACAAUAACAUGUAUGAAAACAUGUAUGGAAAUAAAUUCAAUACAACAGGGCAAUUCAGUACAGGGCAAUGGCAAUGCUGAGCGAUUAGCAAACAUUCAGCAGUACAUGACCAGUAUGGUGACUCAAGUACAACAGCAGCAGAAAGGCCCAGCUAUAGCUAGAGUAACACAAUGAAAGGUCCACCUAUAGUUAGAGUAACACAAUGAAAGGUCCACCUAUAGCUAGAGUAACACAAUGAAAGGUCCACCUAUAGUUAGAGUAACACAAUGAAAGGUCCACCUAUAGCUUGAGUAACACAAUGAAAGACAAGUGGAGAUGUGGUGAAAAGUUGUCUACGUGACCAACCACUGGACAUACGUUGAAAUUAUGUCUGUGAGUAAAAAGUUCAUGAAAUAACCUCUAACGGGUAAUGAGAAAAGAAACAAAUAAGCUUUGCAGAGUCGAACACCAAUAAAUGCUAAUCAUUCAAAUAUUCAUUAACUGAAAAUCAAAACGUUUUAUUCUGCUACCAGAGGCAGGUUUAUAGGUGAGUGUUGUGGGUCAAUAUGAGUCUGUUUUGUUGGAGUGAUUUGUGAUUGCACACUAACCGUGUCUUAUGACCUUACUGAGAUUAACCAACAUUGGACGUCCUUACCAAGGUUCACAACAUUGAAUGAUGUAACUAGGUCCGGAGUCAGCGGGAUGAUGUAACUCUUGGUUAGAAUUGUCAUUGACUGAUAAGAGACAUUAAUCAGCACCUUGAUGAACGGCUUCAGCCUCCUCACAGGCUACAUCAUUAUAUUGCUUUUCAUAACCUAUGUCUGACAGCAUGUGUCCAUGGUUACGAUUAAAGCCUGAGGUAAUGUGACAUAUUCUAUGCAUUAAGCAGAGUGCUCUUAAAAAUGUCACAUGAGGAGGCCGGAUCCUUCAGUCAGCAUCACAGUCCAUAUGACGGACAUCCAUGAGGGAUGGAUGGAGGUCAUUGCAAUACCACGGGCAUCCAGCAGAGGGAAACAGACAUCCAUGAGGGCUGACACUGGCUGAGGGGUUUUAGAUGGCAGGGCGGUUUGCCACUGCGAUACCCACAGUAUCCACAGGGGGGAAGCAGAGCCUGUGUUAUGAGUGACGUGUGCCUCUCUUGUCUAUUCUCCUCCCCAUGUGUCUCGCCACCUUUUCUUUUCUGCUCUCUUCUGUUUCUCUCUUCUCCUUUCCUUCUCCAUGUGACUCUCCCCUCCUCUUCACUCAGCUCCUCUCUCUUCUGUCUCCUCUCUCAUGUGACUUUACACACUUUGCUCCUCUUUCCUCUUAUCUUAUACCAUCCGCUAUUCUCCGUUUUCCACUCUUCUCUUCUCUGGUCCGCUGGUCUCUCUUCUCCUAUCCCCUUUGCUCUCCUCUCUUAUUCUGCAGCGAAGGACUGACGGUUUGCUACACAGGCUGUUCAAAGCCGUUACUGGGACAUGCUCUCAGUGCAUCCAGAGAGCGAGUGGAUGGUCGCACUGAGGCGUAGUCACUGGCAGCAACAGUACAGCAGUAGACAUAAAGGGAAACGUGGAGAUAUUUCAGCCUGGGCCCUAUUUUAUCUCUGUCUUUUUCAUCCAAUUUUGUACUAGGGGCAAAAACGAUCAAAAUUGUGCCUAGUAUUGAGUUAGAAGGCUAAAACCACAAAACGGCUAUACAAUGGAAUCCUAUGGAGCAAGCAUGCAUGUCAAAGUAAACCGCUUGUUUUAGCCACCGACAGGCUCGUAAAUGUUAUUAUAGGGGUCUGACAAAGAAAAGGAUCUCUACUGAGAUACACCUGCAUCUUUUUAACCCAAUGACUAUAUAUCUAAAUAAUAGAGAAACUAUAAUAAUGUUUUAUCUCCCUUUUUUUCCGGUCUCUGACGAAGCACCCCAUUCAGUACAUGCAGUCAACUGGCCUAUCUUGUGGGGCAGGAGUGGGCACUCCGAGGAAAGCGCCUCCCUUCGAUAAUCAUUUUCUACAGUUUCUUUACAGUUAUUGGAGUAGGCGGACUAUGACGUGACUGGACGCAUGAAAGCCCCCUCACACACACAGCGCAUAUACACACAAAUAAGGCCAGAAUAAUAACCUAACUUUGACAUUCACCUGCAUCUUAACAGGAUUUACAGCACAGCCAUCUGAACACUCAAAACUAAACACAAUAACAAAAAAAUAAAUUCACCUGUAUCAACACAGGAUUCACAGCGCAGGUAUAGUGAAUUCAAGCCAACAGCACAUAGGCCUAACAAGAAAUAAAUUCACCUGUUAACAACAGGAUUUACAACGCAGGUAACUCAAUCACAGAUUUAGGGCCCUGAGCACCAGAGCCAAAGCCAGAGCCCCUGCCUCCCCAGAACCGUGUCAGGGCCCCAAAGCUGUAAAUGUAUUUCUUGUUAUUGUGUUGUUAGUUUUCAGUGUUCAGAUACAUUCCUGGUUAUUGGGGUAAACAGACGCAGGUGUAAUUAGUAUCAUCCAAUGAAAAAAAAUCGUACUACUUAAACUGUUCUAGCACUUUUAAUGAAUGUUUCUGUAGGCAGACAGUUUUGUAUCAGAUCAGAUUUAUUUAGAUUAUAUAUGUUCAUGUGGUGAGAAGAGAGAUAAACACACCUGUAUUUCCCACCAACUGCCCAGGCUAUUCAAUAUGUAUCACUGAAUGUUUGUCACCGGCAUGUAUCAGUUCACAAGCUUUUAUCAGUGCCAACUGUACUGUUGCUGAUGUCCCUUAGCUGUUAAGCAGUCUGCUUGCUAGUUUUAAACACAGCAUCUCUAAUGCCUUUUUAACUGCCUUAUGUGACAGUGGAAUGCCUGCAGCUGAUGACUGCAGACAGUUGCGUUGAUCGAAUGGAAAAAAAUCUGCUUAACAUCCUCCCUGCUGAUGCCCUACUGCCCUGAGCUGAAGAGGGAGAUGGGCAGUAAUCAACGAGUGGAAAAACCUCUUCAGAUCCGACAUGCCACUCAAUAGUUGUGAGCGUCAUCAGCCACGGCCAUCGAUCUGCCUGGACAUCAUUCGAGAGAGAAGUGCUACGCUCAUCAGACCCCUGAGAGAGCACUCAUACCUCAAACAGCCAUUAAUCAAAUAAUAUUCACAAACACACACACACACACACACACACACACACACACAGCCAUACUCAACUAAUAUUCAACCACACACACACACACACACACACACACACACACACACACACACACACACACACACACACACACACACACACACACACACACACACACACACACACACACACU
ensembl:lncRNA